GACGUAGGGACCGAGCGUUGUCCGGAUUUAUUGGGCGUAAAGCGCGCGCAGGCGGCCGUGCAAGUCGGAUGUGAAAAUCCGGGGCUCAACCCCGGACGUGCAUUCGAAACUGCUCGGCUUGAGGCAGGUAGGGGAGAUUGGAAUUCCUGGUGUAGCGGUGAAAUGCGCAGAUAUCAGGAGGAACACCGGUGGCGAAGGCGGAUCUCUGGGCCUGUCCUGACGCUCAGGCGCGAAAGCUAGGGGAGCAAACGGG
rnacentral:rRNA from 1 species